UCUGGUGGGUAUCGCGGAGGGGCCCCACCCGUUCCCUUCUCGAACACGGAAGUUAAGCCCUCCAGCGCCGAUGGUACUCGGGGCGCGAGCCCCCGGGAGAGUAGGUCCCCGCCAGGA
rnacentral:rRNA from 1 species